rnacentral:rRNA from 1 species
GACGAACGCUGGCGGCGUGCUUAACACAUGCAAGUCGAACGGAAAGGCCCUGCUUUUGUGGGGUGCUCGAGUGGCGAACGGGUGAGUAACACGUGAGUAACCUGCCCUUGACUGUGGUAUCACUUCAGAAAACUGGGGCUAAUACCGGAUAGGAGCUCCUGCUGCAUGGUGGGGGGUGGAGAGUUUCGGCGGUUGGGGAUGGACUCGCGGCUUAUCAGCUUGUUGGUGGGGUAGUGGCAUACCAAGGCUUUGACGGGUAGCCGGCCUGAGAGGGUGACCGGCCACACUGGGACUGAGAUACGGCCCAGACUCCUACGGGAGGCAGCAGUGGGGAAUAUUGCACAAUGGGCGGAAGCCUGAUGCAGCGACGCCGCGUGCGGGAUGACGGCCUUCGGGUUGUAAACCGCUUUCGCCUGUGACGAAGCGUGAGUGACGGUAAGGGGUAAAGAAGCACCGGCUAACUACGUG